rnacentral:piRNA from 1 species
UGACAGAUCCUAGUAAUUGCUGAAUAUA